GCCUUCAUUUUCCUCCUGCCUUGAAAGAAGCUUUCAGAAAGGCAGACACCCCCAGGCCCGACCUUGGCUCCUAGCCCCAGGAACGGCUGCCUGUUGGAGCCACAGCCCAAGUCAUGCACAGAUCUGCGCCACCCUGUGCACCCUCUCACAUGCCCCCUCCAUGCACGCACGGUUUCUUUACUGCCUUUGGACACCCAAGCUUGAUUUCCUGUCUCCACACUCCUUUCCAUGCAGGGAGGACUGAGAGCUGCUCGCUGUGUUGGCAGGAAACUUCCUGAGCUGCCCAAAGACCCGUCACGCGGCACCUGGAACACCUCUCCGAGGGCUCUCUGAGCUCCCCUGGCUCCCCGGGCCCCUCCUCUCUGCACACACAGCUGCGGGGCUGCCUCCCUCCUCCACCAAAGUUCACCUCUGUGCAGCUGGUGGCUGGAGCCAGGCCAGCACUCCUGGGCUUGCAGAGGCCUGCGGCCAGCAGACUUUCUGCCUCAUCCCUUCUCAUUGAGCAGGGCUGGGUGGGCGACACUGGGGGUUUGUCUGCUCUGGCUGACACCCACACCCCAACCCUGUAAACACACACUCUAGUGCUGUGGGCUCCCCAGCACUGCAGCCUCAGUUCCAAAUUAAGAUAAUCCCGUAGACUGGUCACCCUGUGGAUCCCUCUUUAAAGAAGUGCUCUGCCUGAAAAGAAAGUGAAACCGAGAUUCCGGUCUGUGGCCAUCCUGGCCUGGUUGCCGGGGAAGGCCACUGAUUACUAGAGAUGCCUGGGCAGCAGAGCUGCCAUGAGCCGUCAUCCCCCUGCCGAGGUGCCACUGGGGGCUCGCUGCGACUUGGUCCUUCCAGACCCUCAUCUGUUACGGGUUGGGGCAAACACCAGGGCCCAGAGGUGGAAUCGAAUGGCACAGCCUGCAGACAAGGGACAGUUCAGCUACCCAGGCUGCGCGACUGGAGGGACCUCUCCACACACCCCUUCCGCCCGCCAGUGGACCGCAGGACACGCAGUUCGUCCAGACCCCAAGGCAGCCAGCAUCACAAAGGGAGGCGACCUUGCAACAGCCUUCACUCCAAGGACACCCAGGGACCCCUGAGCCCCAAACCACUCGGGGCCUCAUUGUUACCCACCCUCUGUCAGCAGGGCCCCAUCUGUGCGGCGAUGGAAUUUUUUUUGUCACUUUUUCAAAUCAGAAUAGAAACAAUUUUUAGUCUAUAAUUAUCAUUUCUUUUCUCAACAGACAAAUGUUUCCUCUUAAAUUGUAGGGCGGAAAAAGCAAAGAACAACAUUUUAAACCAAAAAGAAAGACUAAAAUUAAUUUCCUCUUUACAGAAAAAUAAAAUACAACAGCCCUAAGAAGCCAGAGUUUUCUUUCUCCAAAAGAGCAAGGAAUCCACCAAGCGCAUCCACCCUGCGGCAGUUAGCCUCAGCUCCUGGUCCCGUCCACACCCAGCAGGGCCCUCCUUGGGCAGGACGGCACCUGCCCUCAGGCCCAUGGCACCUGACGCACUGAG
rnacentral:lncRNA from 1 species